AUUGAACGCUGGCGGCAUGCCUUACACAUGCAAGUCGAACGGUAACAGGUUAAGCUGACGAGUGGCGAACGGGUGAGUAAUAUAUCGGAACGUGCCCAGUCGUGGGGGAUAACUGCUCGAAAGAGCAGCUAAUACCGCAUACGACCUGAGGGUGAAAGCGGGGGAUCGCAAGACCUCGCGCGAUUGGAGCGGCCGAUAUCAGAUUAGGUAGUUGGUGGGGUAAAGGCCCACCAAGCCAACGAUCUGUAGCUGGUCUGAGAGGACGACCAGCCACACUGGGACUGGGACACGGCCCAGACUCCUACGGGAGGCAGCAGUGGGGAAUUUUGGACAAUGGGCGCAAGCCUGAUCCAGCCAUGCCGCGUGCGGGAAGAAGGCCUUCGGGUUGUAAACCGCUUUUGUCAGGGAAGAAAAGGUUCUGGUUAAUACCUGGGACUCAUGACGGUACCUGAAGAAUAAGCACCGGCUAACUACGUGCCAGCAGCCGCCGUAA
rnacentral:rRNA from 1 species